UGGAAAAAUCCCAUUGGCUUUUUAUCGAGGGAACCCGUGCGAUUCUAACUUCUGGGUUGGCCAACAAAAAUUCGUCAUCCCUGCACCACUCUAUUCCCCUAAAAACACAAGU